GUAGUCAUAUGCUUGUCUCAAAGAUUAAGCCAUGCAUGUCUAAGUAUAAGCAACUAUACGGUGAAACUGCGAAUGGCUCAUUAAAUCAGUUAUCGUUUAUUUGAUAGUACCUUACUACUUGGAUAACCGUGGUAAUUCUAGAGCUAAUACAUGCUAAAAACCCCGACUUCGGAAGGGGUGUAUUUAUUAGAUAAAAAACCAGCGCCCUUCGGGGCUCCUUGGUGAUUCAUAAUAACUUAACGAAUCGCAUGGCCUUGCGCCGGCGAUGGUUCAUUCAAAUUUCUGCCCUAUCAACUUUCGAUGGUAAGGUAUUGGCUUACCAUGGUUUCAACGGGUAACGGGGAAUGA
rnacentral:rRNA from 2 species